rnacentral:tRNA from 2 species
GCCGCCGUGGCGGAAUUGGUAGACGCGACGGAUUUAAAAUCCGUUGAUUGGUAACAAUCGUGCCGGUUCGAUCCCGGCCGGCGGUA